rnacentral:rRNA from 1 species
GAUGAACGCUGGCGGCGUGCUUAACACAUGCAAGUCGAACGGAAAGGCCCAAGCUUGCUUGGGUACUCGAGUGGCGAACGGGUGAGUAACACGUGGGUGAUCUGCCCUGCACUUCGGGAUAAGCCUGGGAAACUGGGUCUAAUACCGGAUAGGACCACAUUUUGGAUGGUGUGGUGGAAAGUUUUUCGGUGUGGGAUGAGCUCGCGGCCUAUCAGCUUGUUGGUGGGGUAAUGGCCUACCAAGGCGUCGACGGGUAGCCGGCCUGAGAGGGUGUACGGCCACAUUGGGACUGAGAUAAGGCCCAGACUCCUACGGGAGGCAGCAGUGGGGAAUAUUGCACAAUGGGCGCAAGCCUGAUGCAGCGACGCCGCGUGGGGGAUGACGGCCUUCGGGUUGUAAACUCCUUUCGCUAGGGACGAAGCGUUUUUGUGACGGUACCUGGAGAAGAAGCACCGGCUAACUACGUG